rnacentral:lncRNA from 1 species
AAAACUUAGGAUCAAUGGGAGGAGACAGAAGGAGUCUUGUGAGGAUUUUUAAAAUAUGCCAGAGCUGGCUGGGUACAGUGGCUCACACCUGUAACCUGAGGACUUUGAGGCGGAGGCGGGCAGACCACCUGAGCUCAGGAGCUCGAGACCAGCCUGGGCAACAUGGCGAAACCCUGUCUCUACUAACACUAUAAAAAGUUAGCUGGGCGUGGCGGUGCAUGCUGUAGUCCCAGCUACUCAGGAGGCUGAGGCACGAGAAUCGCUUGAACCUGGGAGAUGGAGGUUGAAGUGAGCCAAGAUUGCAGCAUUGCACUCCAGCCAGGGCUCCUAAUGUACUCAUUGAAACAUCACUUGUGUCCACCUGGGUUCGGAAUUGUGCCGGACAUGGGAUACACAAAGUUCAAUUGGCCUCUUGGUGCCAAAGCACCAUGGCGUGUUACACCUAUCAGAUCGGGCACACUGCCCCUUCUUCCCAACCUACGAGCUGAAAUGGCCAGCACUGCGCCUUCCAGAACCCAGCUUAGAUGCACAGUUGCCACGGAGGUAGGAAGAAUGAUUCGUUUGCCACCAAAAGCCCAGUUUCUCCAACAGUGAAUCCCUAGGCCAGCCCGGCCCCUUCCCACACACCCCUACCCCGAGAUGGGUGCAGAAUCAGCAGCGGGGAUCAUCCAGAAACUCUCGCAGUCCACGGCAGGUGUCGGAGUGGGCCUCAUUCCAGAGUUGUGGUGGCCGCUCCACCUGGCGAGCUUCGAGGGGACUCUGGCAGGCGCUCGCUGUGGGGUCCUCCCACCAGUCUUCUCAGCACAGGAACGGUGCCUUCGCAUUGGUCUUCCGGGGCCUAAAAGCAUAUCAUUCCUGCUUGCUCUUCAGAUGCAAACUCCCCCUCCAAGGAUACCUCCAGGUUCCCUGCCAGCUCACUUGACUCACAUGGCAAUGGUCACCGGGCUGCCUGAGCCCAAAUCAAGCACCGUUUAUUAGGGGGAAGCUCCGUUAUCCAGAAAGCUCACCUUUGAAGAGCUACCCAUUU